CCCUUAGAUGUCCUGGGCCGCACGCGCGUUACACUGAUGCAUUCAACGAGCUUAUAACCUUGGCCGAGAGGCCUGGGCAAUCUUGUUAACGUGCAUCGUGAUAGGGAUAGAUUAUUGAAAUUAUUAAUCUUGAACGAGGAAUUCCUAGUAAACGCAGAUCAUCAAUCUGCAUUGAUUACGUCCCUGCCCUUUGUACACACCGCCCGUCGCUCCUACCGAUUGAGUGGUCCGGUGAGGCUUUGGGAUCUGAGCGGAAAGAGCGUUUCGCUGUUUCUGCCCGGAAAACUCAGUCGAACCUUAUCAUUUAGAGGAAGGAGAAGUCGUAACA
rnacentral:rRNA from 1 species